AAAGGAAUAAAAGCAGGCUGCCCGAGCCAGUAGUAGCAACCUGUUGGGGUUCCCUUCCACAAUGUAGAGCCUUUGUUGUUUUGCUCUUUGUAAUAAAUCUCGCUGUUGCUGAGUUUUUGAGUCUGCCCUGCCUUUAUGAGUUGUAACACUCACCGUGAAGGUCUGUAGCUUCACCCCUGAGGCCAGUGAAACCACGAACCCACCAGGAGGAAUGAACAACUCCAGACGCGCCUGCCUUAAGAGCUGUACCACUCACCUUGAAGGUCUGCAGUUUCUCUUCUGAAGCCAGCGAGGCUACGAACCCACCAGAAGUAAGAAACUCUGAACGUGUAUGAACAUCAGAAGGAACAAACUCUGGACACAUCACCUUGAAGAACUGUAACACUCACCGCGAGGGUCCACGUCCUCAUUUUUGAGGUCAGUGAGACCAAGAACCCACCAAUUCCGGGCACACUGCCGUUUGUAUGUUGGAAUCCCAGUGUGCUCAUCCCAUCUGUGACUCCUGGUCACCGACACAUAAAGUGUAGCACACUGCCAAGCAGCACCUAACUUUCAGAUUUCAUGGUGAACUUGUCCGUGUGGGAAAAGGAGUCCUCGCAACUACUGAGGAUGCUAUUGCUUACUUUGGAGGCAAGAAAUUAUUCUAAACCUAAUUAAUCCACCGCAUCAUAAAAACUUACACCGUUGCUGUCUGAAUUUGUCUAGAAGAGACUGCUGCACAAGUAUUUUCUAAGAAUCGCUUGAGAACCUGCUAAGAUACUUCCAGGCCCAGAUAAUUUAGGUUGUAAUGCAAGAUUAAGAAACUGAUGUACAGGAGAAAAACCCAGGCAAUCAGCCAUAAUUUGGCUACACUUUUUAAGAAAAUGUUAUCUAGAUAUAUUUCUCAUUAGAGCUUACCAUGCUUUAAUGUAUCUCAAUAAAGUCUCCAUGAAUACCUAAAAUGUUACAAUUCACAGCCUUAAACUAAAUUUUCUGUUUUGUUUUAAAGUUAUUAUAGUUAAAAUUAGGAGAUUUAGCCUGGUAUCAUGACCUAUGUCUGUGGUCUCAGCUACUCGGGAAGCUGAGACAGGAGGAUCACUUGAACCAAAGUGAUCAAGGCUGCAGUGAGCUAUGUUUGGGUGACUGCACUUCAGCCUGUAAAACAGAGCAAGAUCCUGUCUCAAUAAAAUAAACUAAGAUAAAAGAAGAGAAAUACGAGUAAAAAAUAUAAUUUUUCCUACUUUUCAAUAAGCAUAAGUGUUUUUUGGUUUUGUUUUGUUGCAAAUUCACUAUAUAAUAACCAAUCCAGCAAGAUUGGUAAGUAGGACCAUACUAGGUGUUAACAGUACUCUGACCUGCUUAAUGAGGACGCUAACACCAAUCUGGAAGGUUGGAGAAAAUAAAAAAGCAAUUGUAGUCUGAGGGUGACCUAGUAUAUUUCCCAAAUCUGUUACCUGGGAAUGAGGCAGGGGAAAGAAAGACACAAAACAAUGGUUUGUUUAUUCUUGCAGGGUUUCAGAUCCAUUCUUAGAGGGUUUCAGAUCCAUUUCUGAAGAUCUCUAGAAAGAUACAGAGAAAUGUUUCCUGUUAACAACCUCUCACUACCCUUUCAGGUUAGAAGCAUUUCCUUUGAGCUGGUACAAGGCCCUGCUGCAAUGCAAAGCCUUCUUCCUCUACUGUUCUCCAGGGAAAUGGUUAAGAGCUACCCAUUAGCCUGUGUGCAGACAUCACUCAGGUACUUCCCAACUAAGAUUAAUGAAAAGCUCAACUUUUUCUUUCCCAAGCUAAUAAAUACCUCUUGAUAUUUGCUGACUUCUCAAGAUGGUCGUCUUCCAUUGACAACACUAACAUAUCCCAAAGUAGGAUUUUAUGGAGCAAGUCGAUUAAAGACUACGUCUUUAAAAAAUAAUUUUUAAUUAUUUUGUUAUUUGUUGCAGGCCAUUGAAUUAGCCUUAAACAAACCAUGGAGAUGGUCCCUUUCUCGGUCCCAAUGCAGGCCCCUUUCCUUAAAUAAAGCUGGCUCUGCCCCUGUCAUUGUGGAGUCUCAAAGAUGAUCAUUUUUCGAUUCUUCAUGUUUUUGCAGCCAUAUUAUAUAUCAGAGAUAAUCAAAUCAACCAUGCUAUAACAAAAACCAGAUGUUAAACCCAC
rnacentral:lncRNA from 1 species